UGUUACAUGGUAGGGUAUUUAUUCAGUACAUUUUUUCUUUUUCAAGUAAAGUAUAAGGGAGUUGUACUCCAGGCUAGUAGGUGGCGGUUAAGCAACAAAUUGGAUGCCAACCGCCGUUAAACCUCAGAAGAAGAAGAUUGUCGGACCAUCAACGGAAAAGGAAGAACGUCAUUAUACGGAAGAGGAAGGAAAGUGUGUUUGAAACUAAAAUCGCUAGUAACAACCAGCAUCAAACGUAACAUUGCUUGUCAAAUGGAUAUCAUUUCUCGUUAUGGUUUGUAGUUAUGCUGGCUUUGCUUCUGCUGUCUUUCUACAACAUCCGAAGGUGGGUUGUUCACACCAUCGCUUAGCUAGCUUCAGAAAGCUCAGCUACCUAGCUAGCUAAGUUAGCUAGUAAACACAAUGUAAGCUGGCUAGCAAAGAUACAUCCUGAAGUGAUAUAACGUUGUUAGCAAUACGAUGUGAAGUUAUAUGGUGUUAUUCUCAACUUGCUAUCAUCUUAGAUCAUCCAGAUGCAGGUUUACGUAGCUAACGUUAACCAGUUAACUGGGUCAGCAUGUCAUUACGUUAACUAGUUAACUGGGUCAGCAUGUCAUUACGUUAACAAGUAAUGUUGACAUUAUGGUCAACUGUGGCUCCCGAGUGGUGUAGCGGUCCGGGUUUGGCCCGUGUAGGCCGUUCAUUGUAAAUAAGAAUUAGUUCUUAACUGACUUGUCUAGUUAAACAAAGGUCACAAAAAAUGACAAUUUCCAGUGACACAGUAGCCAGCUAGCUCUGCAGACCCUGUUCUACUUCAGUAGCCAGCUAGCUCUGCAGACCCUGUUCUACUUCAGUAGUCAGCUAGCUCUGCAGACCCUGUUCUACUUCAGUAGCCAGCUAGCUCUGCAGACCCUGUUCUACUUCAGUAGCCAGCUAGCUCUGCACACCCUGUUCUACUUCAGUAGCCAGCUAGCUCUGCAGACCCUGUUCUACUUCAGUAGCCAGCUGGCUCUGCACACCCUGUUCUACUUCAGUAGCCAGCUAGCUCUGCAGACCCUGUUCUACUUAAGUAGCCAGCUAGCUCUGCAGACCCUGUUCUACUUCAGUAGCCAGCUAGCUCUGCAGACCCUGUUCUACUUCAGUAGCCAGCUAGCUCUGCAGACCCUGUCCUACUUCAGUAGCCAGCUAGCUCUGCAGACCCUGUUCUACUUCAGUAGCCAGCUAGCUCUGCAGACCCUGUUCUACUUCAGUAGCCAGCUAGCUCUGCCGACCCUGUUCUACUUCAGUAGCGAGUAUCAAGUGUAUGAGUGUGUCCUCAUUGCACGUCUGUUAUUUUAUGUCGCACCUCAAAUGAUGAGCUGGUGGACUGAGACCAGAUGGGGGGGUGUAAUAGGUGGUGACAUGACAGUGUGUUAUCAGAGGACUGAGACCAGAUGGGGGGUGUAAUAGGUGGUGACAUGACAGUGUGUUAUCAGAGGACUGAGACCAGAUGGGGGGUGUAAUAGGUGGUGCCAUGAAAGGGUGUUAUCAGAGGACUGAGACCAGAUGGGGGGUGAAAUAGGUGGUGACAUGACAGUGUGUUAUCAGAGGACUGAGACCAGAUGGGGGGGUGUAAUAGGUGGUGACAUGACAGUGUGUUAUCAGAGGACUGAGACCAGAUGGGGGGGUGUAAUAGGUGGUGACAUGAGGGUGGGUAUAAUUUGUGUAACGUUACAACAAAAAAAAAAAACUUCGUAAAUAUCAAGGUUGCCAACAAACAACACAAACAAAGUCGUAUAACGGUAGAAUGAGAUACCGGGUAGAGAGUGAACAAUGUAAUAACGUUUUUCAACCACCACGUUUAUUCUGAAAAAUGUCUCUCUUCGUUCUGGUAGCCUCCACCAUUCCUCGUUCGUUGGUUUAGUUAUUAUUUCCGGGGUUCCUGCAUUCGUAAGGUGAACUCUGUUGCGCCUCAAUUAGGGAAUCGCUAUGGUUGAAAUGUAACUAAUCACUGCCAGCCCCAGUAUUUUAUUAGCUAGGUGGCUUGGACACAAUUGUUACCGAUGAUACUGUAUACACCAGCCUACUAUUAUUACAUAAACAUACAUUGUAUUUUACCAAGUUCUCUCUGUGUUAAUCCUGUUUCCCAAAUAUAUCAGCUAACUUGUGUCGAUGUUGUUUAGUUCAACUUGCCUAGUUAAAUAAAGAUUAAAUAAAUUAGAACAUAUAAAAUAUAUGCUUUGACCUAUUCCAGGUAACCUAAAGAUGCUUGAUUCACUACAGCUGCUUUUGAAGAACUUUCCAGUCGUAUUUGCUUUACAUUCCGACUUUACAUUCCGACUUUUGAACGUGUGUUUAUUGGACAUAUAUAUUAGUGUCUAAUAAAACAGAGCAUCCCAUCUGUUUUAAGGUUAUAGUUUGUGUGAUGUAGUUCCUCUUGAUGUCCACUAGGUGUCAGCACAGUUUCAAUAAUGUCACACCAGGUUACUACAUGUUUUCAUGUUGUGAAUGCUACAUGUGUAGACCUUACAGUGAAAUGUUGACUUACAAGCCCUUAACCAACAAUUUAGUUUUAAGAAAAAUAUGUGUUAAGUAAAAAAUAAGAAAUAAAAGUAACAAAUAAUUAAAGAGCAGCAGUAAAAUCAAAAUAGCGAGGCUCGAUACAUGGGGUACCGGUUAGUCGAGGUAAUUGAGGUGUUCCUUUCAAGUCCAGUGGUGUAAAUUACUUAACAAAAAUGUAUUUAAACUACUCCACUACAUUCCGUUUAUAUAUCUGGUUAUUUUGUAUCUGUACUUUUACUCUCCCUACUGCCUCUGAUCUGGAGGACUCACUAAACAGAGAACAUCCCUGGUCAUCCCUACUGCCUCUGAUCUGGAGGACUCACUAAACAGAGAACAUCCCUGGUCAUCCCUACUGCCUCUGAUCUGGAGGACUCACUAAACAGAGAACAUCCCUGGUCAUCCCUACUGCCUCUGAUCUGGAGGACUCACUAAACAGAGAACAUCCCUGGUCAUCCCUACUGCCUCUGAUCUGGAGGACUCACUAAACAGAGAACAUCCCUGGUCAUCCCUACUGCCUCUGAUCUGGAGGACUCACUAAACACAUGCUUCAUUUGUAAAUGAUGUCUGAUUGUUGGAGUGUUCCCCUGGUUAUUUCUUAAAUAAAAUAACAAGAGAAUCGUUCUGUCUGGUUUGCUUAAUGUAUGGAAGGUCAAAUCAUUUAUACUUUUACCACUGAUACUUAAGUAUAUUUUAGCAAUGACGUUUACUUAGUAUUUUACUGGGUGACUUUCACUUUUACUUGAGUCAUUUUCUAUUAACAUCAUCUUAUUAUUGUACCUUUUUCCCUUCAUUUGCCUCCUACUGUCUAUAAGCUGUCAUAACAUGUGGGUUUUUUCAUGGGGACCAGGUAUCGGAAAGCCUUUGAAGGAUCUACAAAGCCCCCAGGUAAAAGUUGGCUUUUGCAGACAAGGAUUGUAUUGUUUCUCCACGACAUAAUAUGUUAUCACAACUCUAUUAAAA
rnacentral:lncRNA from 1 species